UCACGUCUGUGUGUUUCAUAUGAUGUGUUUUUGAGCUAAAACCCACCCAUACAUCUUUUGGGAUUUGUUGAAUUCAGGGUUUUCCUGGUGACAUCGGACCACCUGGACAAAACGGCCCUGAAGGACCAAAGGUUAGUAUGUUUUAUGACAGGUGUGUGCUUGGUUAAUGAGCAUAUUUACUAUAGGUCUACUGUAACAGCCCCUCAAAGGCCCUUCUGUAAGUGAAUGUAUGUGUGUGUGUUUGUUCAUUCUCCCCACAUAGGGCAAAAUCGGAGCAAGAGGGUUACCGGGACCUCGUGGGGCUUCAGGACUAGAGGGAGAGGAGGGACCUGUUGGACCACCUGGGCCGGCGGGACUUGAGGUGAGCUUCUAAAACAGUUCAUAAAAUAAAAGAGAGGAUCAGCAUGGGUCUCA
rnacentral:lncRNA from 1 species